GCGGAGGCAAUCACGGUUGAUCAUUGUCCUUCAAGGCAAGAUGAAAUGGAAAGAAUUCAACGCCUAGGUGGCUAUGUAGAUUGUUGCCGGGGUGUGUGGAGAAUUCAAGGAUCUCUUGCUGUGUCACGAGGAAUAGGAGAUUCCCAACUUAAGAAAUGGGUGAUAGCUGAACCAGAGACCAAAAUAUUGACUAUUCGACCAGAAUGUGAAUUCUUGAUCUUGGCAUCCGAUGGUCUUUGGAAAAAGGUAAGUAAUCAAGAAGCAGUGGAUCUACUUCGACCUUUCUGCGUAGGUGUUGAUAACCCACAGCCUUUAUCUGCUUGCAAAAAGCUAGUCGAUUUGGCAGUAACAAGAGGAUCCUCUGAUGACAUAAGUGCAAUGAUCAUUCAACUAGGUCAAUUCAUUCAAUAAA
rnacentral:misc_RNA from 1 species